CCGACCUCCGCCACCACUCCGACCCGCCACCGAAUCACUCCGAAACCCAUUUCGCCGGACGAGAGGUACCGAAGAUGGAACAGAAGUGUCGUACGAUUCGAUCGAGUUAAAUCCUAAUGAGGAAGAAGCUGAAAACCUUGGUUUCCGUGCGCAUAGUCGCUCUGAUUAAUUUAAGUCUACUUUAUUUUGGAAGCUUCUAAGUUUAUUUGGAUAUUGUAAUAUUUUGAUUUAUUCGAAACGGUUGUAAAAUAAUGACAUUCGCUUUUGAAAUGGUGAC